AGUUUAAAGUAACUAUUUUAAAUGAAUCCUGCCCAGUGUAAAAAUUAUAAAUGGCCGCAGUACCCUGACUGUGCAAAGGUAGCAUAAUCAAUUGGCUUUUAAUUGAAGUCUGGAAUGAAUGGAAUUUUGAAAAAAUACUGUCUUAAAAAUAUUUUAUUGAAUUUAAUUAUUAGGUGAAAAUACCUAUUUUUAGAAAAAAGACGAGAAGACCCUUAGAAUUUUAAUAAUAUUAUAUAAUUAAUUUAUUUUUGUUGGGGCGACAAUUAAACAUAUAUUAAACCUUAUAUUUUAAAUAAAACGAAAUUGUUAUAAAAGAAUAAAUUACCUUAGGGAUAACAGCAUAAUUUUUUAAAAAGUUUGUGACCUCGAUGUUGGACUAGGAACUUUAUGACUAGCAGUUAGAAUAGAUUUGUUCUGUUCGAACAAUUUAAUCCU
rnacentral:rRNA from 1 species